AAUAAAUUAAGGUCUAUAAGGCAAAACCACACCAGCUGAAGUACAGUUUGAAUUGACAAUGCAGAACUGAAUACAGCUCUCCAGCGGUUGAGCAAGCAGCCUGGCUAGUGGCACCAACAGCAUAGGCUGCACCAUUUAUUUUUGAGCCAAUAAAGCAAAACAAAUCUGCUGCCCAAAUAAACCAGAAGACAUUUACACACUUACAGCAGCAGCUCAAGCUGACAAAAUUGGAGCUAAAUAUUAGGCACGUUGGAGAUGCAAACAAGGACCCCGUGUCUGCUGCCAUUUGGCUUCCCUGUACUGGAGGUGGCCAUGAGGAGAUGCCACCCCAGUCGUGCCCCCGGCUCAGCUCUGGCUUGAGAUGAGGACCACCACAGCCCAGCUCCCUGCUGGCUUCCUUUUUUUGCUAUUAAAUGCUCUGUGAUAAAGAAACGAAGUGUCUACCCCAGCCAAGGGGCCCACCACCCCAGCCAAAAUGCAACAGCUUGAUUUAUCCAUCCAAGCCCCUACAUCCCCCCCGCACCAAGAGCAUUCAGGCAUCCUAUGGUAAUUCCAUUUCCCAUUUUCAGAAGAAUUGAGCAGUUUAAUUAAACAAACUGGCAGAGUACGGAAGAAAUAAGCCAAACUGCAAGCAUGCAUCUCAAGGGCAGGCUGGAUGGAGCCUCUGAGAUGGGGAGCAGCACCUGGCACCAAGGCUAUCCAGAAAGCUCCAAAGGGAGUAAAGCUUCGAAACAAAGCAAAAAAAAAGGGGGGGGGAAGGGAGAGGGGGGUAAAUCAGAACAAUCUUUACAAAAAUGGAAAAAUCUGCUGAGUGCUUUGCUGUAUCCUUGAACCUUAUUCCCAAUGCUUUAACAGCAGCAGCUCCCAGUACGUGUCAGAGAAGGUAACGGCCUUGCUGUUGGAUGGGAUUUUUCCCAGUUAUCCUCUCUUCCUCUCACUCCACCUCUUCCCCAGUUCCAGACAGCAAUAAAGUUUCCUGACACUUCAUUAACACUCCUUCCUUCAAAUACUCUAUACGUUUUAAUGGAGCAAAGCUGCUCCAUAGUGAAAUCAACCCUCUAGAAGGAAGGGCCUGAUAAACCGCAGCCCAUCAGCAGACGGUCCAACAGUGCCUCUGCUUUUCCUUUGCAAGGAGAUGCUAAAAAAUCCCCAAAACCUGAAGCAGAAAUAAUAACACACCACUAAGAUCCAAGCAAGCUCUUAAAGACGAAAAGCGGACUGAGAGCUCCUGCAGCACCCAGAGAUAGGAAGCUAUUCUGAGCCUGUGCAGAGAUCCCAGAGCAAUUCCAAAGCAUGGAAUUGGGGAUUACACAACAGGCAGCAGCAGCAUCAUAAAAUCACGCCGCAUCAUGCAAAUUGACACCUCGGGUAACACUUAUGUCUCUUUCUCUUUCCAGUUCUUUAUGCAAAAUGCACAGGAUUAGCUCGAGCUUGUCCUGACAAUUUGCUUUUCUAAAAAAGUCAAUCCACAAAUUCAAGGUAUUUACUGCAUUUGUUCUUUAAAUGAUGUGCUUUGAUCUCCGUGCUGAUAACAAGGGGUAAUUGAGGCUAGCCUAAAGCGCAGUGGCAGUGUUAUUAUGCAGCAUGGCACAGAAAGGCAGCAAGGAGCUCAGUCUUUUUGGCAUUCCCACGUCUGUAGCUGUAGAACAGAGACCACAGUAUGACUCUUAUGGGUUGGGGGAUUCUGGAGGAGGGACACUGCAGGAUCCACACUUGGCUCCAGCACACAGCUCUGCAAGCACUGCGCCUUUGCUCAUUCUUCUGAAAAAGGAGCUCCCAAUGCAACUUGCUCAAAUGCAAAGAAGCUGAGCUCAGCUUCUGACUUCAACACCUUUUGCAGCACAAGGAAGAUGAAGGGGAGCAUGCCCUCAAGGACCCCAGCAUCAGCUGGGACGUGGGCAUCACUGCACAACGAGCAGUGGGAGCUCUGAGCUUUGCAAAGCGUGGGGGGUUACAAAGAACAACACGGCUCCACAGAAAGCAGUCCCAGCUCCCUGCCACCUGGCCGGCUGGAACGUCUCAAAUUAGGGAGCUUACAGCGAAGAAGUGGCCACAUGCCAUCACUUAGCAGCUCCCGGUCAGCAGUUCAGAAGUUAUGACCAGAACAAGCAGACACAGCUCAUUCAUGCAGCCAGGGAUGGGGAAGCAGAGCCCACACCGCUCACUCCUGAAGUUCAGAAACAAAUGUGUGCGCUCCCUCUCCUCCCAGUUUAAAAACUGUGGUAAAGCAGACCUGCCUGUUAGGAGCAAGGUGUGAUAGAUAGAAGCUUGGCUUAGCCAAACACGAAAAUCAUCAGAUCUUCAUUAAGUAUGUCUCCCUGGGAAAGCAGCCUUCUUGGAGUAACGUAAUAGCACCUAUGUGGGCUGUGUGUCCCAAAACAUUUGCAUUGCAGACACUGGUCUGCAUUGUGACUGGCUCCGAAGUUAUCCGUAAUUGUUUCUAUAUAAUGUACAUCUGAUCAUUUGGACAGUGAAUUUGGCAAAUCCCAAAUUCAACUCCAACAUUAUAAAUUCACUAUUACGCUUUGCACUGGACUAUGAACUCAAAGACAGGACUGUCUCUCAUUAUGAUGAUGUAGAUAUGCUCUUAAUCUUCUCUCAGUAAGGAAAUUGCUCUGUUCUCAUCACUGUAAUAGCUGGUCAUUACAUUUAUCCUAAAGUGAAUUCAUCUUCCUGGCCAUGGGGAACCAGCACUGUGCACAGAAGCAGGUGAGGUCCUCCAGAGCUUCCUCCUCCAUCACAGCCCUCCCUUCCAAUUGGAAACCCAUUUAACACACUCACUCUGUAUUUCCUGGGGGUACUCCUCAUACAUGCUCCAAUAUCAGCGCAGCUGAGAAGCUCAGCCCAUGACUGAUCAUCAGGGGACUCGUUUCAUACAAUCAUGAAGCUUGGAAAAGACCUCUAAGAUCGCCAACCCCAACCCAACCCACCGUGCCCACUGACCACAUCCCUCAGUGCCACAUCUCCACAGUUCUAGAACACCUCCAGGGAUGGUAUCCCCACCAUUUCCCUAGGCAGUUUGUUCCAAUACUUAACCACUCUUUCAGAGAAUAAGUCUUUCACCACCUCUUCCUACCGCGCUCAUUCUCAUUUGAAAUAACCUCAGUUUCCUUUUGUGUAUAACUGUGUGCCACUGACACUUGCAGAGAUCUGGAGAGUCGAGACCCCGAGUUCUUAACUGGUUGCAAAAUCAGCUCUAACGCCGAGCAAUUGGGAUAACCUGGUUUUUAUCUCCCAAUUAAUUACGUAAUACAGCAAUUAUCUGAUAGAGAUCACCUCACCUUUCACCCUAGCAGGGAGUAGCAAAAUAAAGUUGCAAGGCAGUCUGGUUAACUCUACUGAAGGUCUUAAAAGAAUUCCAGUGGAUGGAUUACAAGAUACAAGUAAAAACCUGAAAUGUGUUCCAGGAGUUGCUUUGUCCUUACCAGCUGAUGAACAUACUCAAAAUCUUGGGGAAAAGAAGGGAGAUGAAGAACAUUCUAAGAAAUAUGGUAAAGGAGGGGGCAGAUGAUAGCAGGAUUUCUCACGUCCCAUAUUAAAACUGUACAGGAAAUACAGGAAGGAUAGCAUCACGUAUGUUUUCAAUACAGCUCGCAGGAUUCAAGUCUGAAAUGCAGGAAAUCUCAUGUUACACGGAUGUCUAGCAACCCUACCUCAUGGAACACCGUGGGAGCUGGACCAGAGCCUGAAUUCCUGCUCUGCUUCCAGCUGAUACUGUGCACACUGAGAGCACACUGGUCAGAUCUCAGAGGGCACCAACACUCAAGCCUUAGCUUGAAAACAGUGGAUAAGAUCUACACUGGUACUGCAUCCCUUCAGCUAUUGCUAUUCCUAUACUGUGGCAUGAGGAGGCUCCCAGGCUCAUGUAACCCAUGGGAGAACCUCUUUGCAAAUCCAGCAACUGGGAGAAAAUGUGGCAACAAACUCCAGGCACGGCCGUGCCAAGCACCUCCUUAGAGCCUCGAGCAGGUAGCUCACAGCAACAGGAACCAGCACGUUGAGAAAGGACAGGGAGUGCCACAGUGCUCCAGCAGGGAAUCUCUUCCAGUUGGCUGCAUCAUCCAUUCAAGUCCUUGAUGCUAUGUGCUGAUGCUCCCAGUCAUCUCAGCAACCUCCUUCGCUUGCAUUUAACAAACUAGCAGUAGCACAGCAUAAUGACAUCAUACCCAGGCAAUGCAUCUGCCCACAAUUACCUCUGGGAGGACAGGUGAGGUUACUGGAGGCCCUGCUGGAGAGGUUUGCUCUGCUGGGAGAGCAGAGCUGUCUGGGCAAGCCAACAGUAGCCUGAUCUUCACAGCAGAUCCCUCUCUGUGUUUUCUCAGGAUUCCUGCUAUUAGCCAAGGCAGCACAGAGAUGUUCUCACCAGGCAAGGAAAGCACAUGAUUAAAAGCAGAAAGUCUCUGAUCUUCUCCAAGCAGAAUGUUUGGCAUUGCUCAAUGUUCAGUGUGGCACUGUGCUUAGAGCUGUCUGAGACCACCUCAGCAAGCUGCUCUGCUAGGACAGAAUAUAUCUGGGAGGUUAAGAGAUGUUAAUAUGAUUUGGAAACAGAUUCAGCUGCUCCUGAUGUGGAGAGCUUCGUGAGGAAGGGGGACAGUUGUACGCGUGGCACAAAACACCAUGGCUGAAGUGUCAGCCACGGCUUGAACUAUUCUUCCAGGUGUUGCACACCACCCAUGCAAUCAAUGUGCAUGUUUCUGAGAUGCUGACAUUUGAAGAAAGGAUGGAAGAGAACUCUCCUGCUGCUGCAAGUCAUCGAGCAACCAAAAGGAUCGCAACAGAUCACUGUUGGGAUGAAGUGCAAGAAGGAGUCAAGAUCAUACAAUCAUAGAAUGGCUUAGGUUGGAAGGGACCUUAAAGAUCACCAAGUUCCAACCCCCUUGCUGUGGGCAGGGUUGCCAACAACCAGAGCAGGCCAAGCACAGAGCAGAGUUUGUGCCAUGUCUCCCUUGCAGCCCAACCAAGGUGUGGAAAGGAGCAGGACCAUUCAUACAGCCAUUGACACAGCAGGGAGGGAUGCUGCCAAACCAGAGCAAGGGGGAACUGGAGUGAGCCAUAGUGAUCCAACAGCAGUUCUGGGGAAAAGACGCCUGAACACAGUGUGCCUCGAGGGGAAUUCCUGUCCACAUGGGCAGGCAUGCCCCAUACCCCUCUGCUCGGCUCCUGAGCCAAGACAAACACUCACUGUGAGAGCAUGGGCUGUGACAGCCACACCUGCGUGCCCAGGGAGCGGCUCUGAUCCAUCCCAUGUGCUUCCAUGCAAUCCUGGCUUGGCACCGCCCCGCUGGUGCUUCCAAAAACUGGGGCCCUGCAGCAGAUUGCCCAUCAACAGUCAGCAGUCUCUGGAAGCCAGUUUUUCCCAUACAUUGUGGUUGCUCUACUCAGCCCCUUCCAUACCAAGCUUCCCCUAACACCUCCUUCCUGGUGCUGUCCCACCCAGAGCCUCCUGCAAGCUCCAGCUCCAUGGCACCCAAGGUUAUGGGACUGCUGCACAGCCACCCCUGUCCUCCCCCCCAGCCACUGCCACCCUGGCCACCAGACCUCACCCACCCCUUGAAAAACCUCUGUGCUUCACCCUUAUCCCCAAGCACAUCCAUGUUCCCCCAUAUCAACCACUUCAACGCUUGAUCACCAGAUGUUAUUUUGACUAAAAUCAAAACCGAUUCCAGACAAUGUCUUCAGACACCCACAGAGACCUCCAGGUAGGUUUUGCCUGCUUUAUCAGCUUUCUGUCUUGAAUCAGUGCUGGUAGCAACCCCUAUCUACGAUUUUGCAGAUAGCAAAGCUUCCGCAAUGACUCAACCACUCCUUUUUCAGGUGAGAAACCCCAAGCAUCCGCACACCCCUCCUUGCACCUGCAUCCUGCAAACCAGAGCUCCAGGCAGCCUGAGCAGCAGCAAAACCUCACAAGCAGCCACCAGAGAAGAAAAGCAAGCCUUGCUGUGCUCCUGCCCAGCAGCUGAUGCUUGGAGACCUCUGCAGAUGGGAUGUGCAGAACUGCACCCUCUGAGCUCUGCAUGGGUGCAGCAGCUGCAUGAAGGAUUCGCUUCUCUUCCGUCUUUCUGCUUUUCUGCAGAACAGAAUACAAUUUCUUUCAAGGGCAAUGUGAUCAACCAAGAAUGAAACUCCAUCAGGCAGGUUUCAAGGUCUCUAUGUGCCAGACGCAGGCUGGCUCUGGAGCGAGGAAACCAAAAGCAAGACAAAUUCUGACCUAUUCAGCUCUAUUUGACUUUUCUCCUAUUAACCUUUUCCUGUUUGGGCUUUCCAUAUAACAACAAAGGAGCAGGAAGAAAGGGAAAAGAUCCAUGCACAGCAAGGGAGUGCCACCCCAGGAAGCCAGAGAGACCUCUGUCCAUUGCACAGAGCAAUCCCAGAGCAGCUCAGCCAGCAGGCACAGAGCCAGGCAAGGGCCCCCAGAGCAGAACAGGAGGGAGAGGAAGAAGGAAGGAGAUGGAGGAAAAACCCAAAAACCCAACCGCCCCAAACAUCCCCACACUGAAACUUUACAAAUGAUAGAAGGCCGAGCGCAGCUUUCACAGGAACUCCUCCUUAUUACUGGUGGGCAACUGCAUUUUUAUCCCGUGGCUUUCUGAUUUUGCAGAUGCAUUCCAGCACGAAACCAGAGGCAACACGCGCUGCUGAGCAGCGGAGUUUAUUUUAAGGGAUGUAACAUUUUCCUGAGGAUGCUCUAUUUGCAUCUGCUGCAGGAAGCAGUAAAAUGGCAGGUGUGUUUCCACACAGCCACAGACACAAAACAAAACGCACAAUGCAAAGCGAACGCUUUUGUCUUGCAAAUCUCUGCUCUCUGCGAUGAAAAAAAUUAAUUAAUUAAUUAACAAAAAAGAAAAGCGAAAAAAGAAAGGGGGAGGGAAAGGGGUUUUCCCCAGGGCCUGUUUUCUAGCUUAUUAGUCCUGCAGAUGCUCAAGACAUACUUUGCCAGGAAGGAGCUCCAUGCCCACCGGCAGGAGAAGGCAGUGCAGGCUGCAGGCAAACCGCUGCCCCGCAUUUGCAUGCAUGUAAGCGCCUAAUUGCUACCGCGCACACCGCACCUUGCAGGCUGCUCUUUCCAGAUGCACCCUUCAGCAACGAUCCUUUGGGGAGGCCUCUCCUCCAGGAGCACACGCUCGUGGUAGUGUGGAGGAUGGACUGAGCCGUUGUACUUAAAAUGAUGCACCUCUGCACGGUUUGAAUGGUUUCUUCAGCAAUUUGACUUUCCCCUGCAAUAAUCCACUGCGUGAUUUCCUUGGAGCAGACAGCACCUCCAAAUACAGGGAGCUUGCUGGAUGUUAUCUAGAGAAAUAACUUUUCCUGUCUUCCAGUCUUGCACUUUGGGAAGGAAUAGCAUAGAAAUAUAAGUGUCAUUCUGCUCUGCCUGCCACAGCUGCAGAACCAGCAAAAGCAGGAUGUGAUGGAAAAUAACACCCGUGGACAGUUAUUUAAAAGAUAAAAUAUCCUUUUUUUCUUCUUUUUUUUUUUUUUUUAAUCCAGUCUAAUUAUUCCCCUGGCAAUCAGCAUCACAACAGCAGAAGCCCAAAGCUUCUGAAAAUCCCACGAAUGCUGCAGCAUUAGUAAGAACAGGCAGCAAUGUUCAGCCUUACAUGAGAUGAUGUGCUGGAGAGAGUUGUCCAGAAACUAUGAUAAGUUUUCUACAGCACAGUAAUAAAUAUCCAACUUAAAGGUAUGGCUAUGAGCGUACUAACACAGCCUGCUCAGCAGAAAGGGCAAAAUGUGUUAGUCAGAAGAUUCUGCUUUCAGGAAAUGUAAUUUUUGACUGUUCUAUUCUUUAGAAACUUUCCUGGGAAAUCCCACUGGCCUUUAUCUGCUACUUUCCCUUUUACUUUCUGCAGAGAACAAUAUUCUUCCAACUGUCCUAUCCCUCUGCACAGCCAGCUUUUCCUAAGCAUCCCACAUGGCUUUCCUGGCACUUCUUAAACUUCCCAGGGGUUUAUAACCCCUCUAUUUCAAUGCUGUAAGACCAAUUAUUUUUUUACCCUAAUCUCUCAUUUAUCACUUGAAUAUCUCACAAUUCUCAGUGACAAAACACAGUACCCUCUGUACUUCUGUUACAGUGCAACCCUUAUGGCUUCCUGUUUGUUUCUCCUUUCUAACCAUUGCAGCUCCUGGCUUAAGCUUCAUCUUCUCUGAGCAAAGAGCUUCUCAUGACCAAGGAUUUGCCUACGACCGAGGAACUGUCCACAACCAAGGAGCUGCCCAUGACCAAGGAGACGCCCACCAACAAAGAGUUGCCCAUGACCAAGGUGAUAACCAUGACCAAGGCGAUGCCCAUGACCAAAGAGUUGCCCACAAUCAAGGAGCUGCCCAUGGCCAGGAAGUUACCCAUGACCCCAUGCCUGGAUGGGCUGUGAUGCCAUGUAUCUGCUCAGGCCUCCAGGCACCACUGCUUGGUAGGUCCUGCAACAACACAGAUGUCUGUGCAUGCUCCAGAGCACUAUAAGUUCCAUCUAGCACUGAAAAUUCAGAAAUAGAUACUGUGCUUUCAUUCUGACUCUUCUCAGACAUGCUCUGAUGUGCACACAGAACUGGCACCAAAGGACAUCUCCAUUUUGUACAGCCAGUACUCACUGGGACUGAACCCACUGAGCCCACUCGUUGCUCCAGGGGAAUGGAUUCUCCCUACAAGUGAAGCAAUCUCACAGUCACCCAUGGGAAGAGAGAGCUUCAGUCAUGAAACUUCACUUAAUUACUUAAUGGAAGGAACGCAGACACCGUGCAUGUGUGGGAAGCUGCAGAGGAAAGGGUUUAGCGAAGCACUGCAUGUGGCUUGAUUUGCUUAUUGGAAAAUUAGAGAGAGCAGUGCAGCUCCUCUGGUGUUGUAUUACUGACAAAUAAUGUCACUCUGCCCUGAGUUACGUGGUCAGUAAUAAAAAGAUGGCAUGCUUUCCUUAGGGACAUACCUACAGAGACAGCAGCAGGGGAAAGGCAAGCCUUUUCCACUGUGCCAAAAGUCACAACAUCAUUUUGUUUCACAUACAGGGAGUUACUCCUACACUGCAGUUCUCCUGCAGAACAGCACCAUUAACUUUUCACUAUAGACUGACAGCAAAGAAGGUGAGAGGAAUCACAGCAGAUCUUUGAGGACAACACAUGCCCCGCAUCCAUGGACAGGUUAAGGGCAUCUCUGGGUUAAAAUAACUGAUUGCAAAUCUGGGGUGUAAACUCAGCCUGUGUACACAGCCUCCAGCUGCCAUCUCCCCAUCAGGUUGGAUAUUAGGAAGAAUUUAUUCUCCCAAAGAGUGGUGAUGCAUUGGCACAGCUGCCCAGGGAGUGGUGGGGUCACCAACUCUGGAGGUGUUUCAGAACUGAUGGGGUCAUGGCACUGAGGGAUGUGGGCAGUGGGCAUGGUAGGCUGGGUUGGGGUUGGAUUGGAUGAUCUUAGAGGUAGUUUCCAACCUUAAUGAUUCUAUCUGUGGGUCUCAGCUCCCUAUCUGGAGAGCACCAAUGGUCUUCUCCUUAGUGCUUUUAAAGACUCGGAUCCAGCUCAGCUGGAAAGCAUUAAGAGUAUCGCAUUGGGAAAGGAGAGCAUCUGACAGCAAGACUCCAGAUGUUCACUCACUCCCCAGGCCUACUCCAUUCCAGGUUAUAUAUGCAGGUAAUGCUCUUCCCCUUGAUGUCAAAUGCAAAUUGAGUGAUUUUGCUUUUUGAAGUAAUCAGCCAUAAUCUUCAAGUUUGUCCUUAUGUCCAAGUGCUUUUAAGAAAUAAUUUAUAUUAAAAGUUCCCACUGCAAUUUGCUUCAGACCAAUCUCCCUGCACAAAAAAAAACACUCCACCUAAAUUCCUGACGUGCCCAAACCUUCCAUUAAUUCAGGCCCACUCAAUCAUCUUCAUCUCUGGCCCAGUACCAAGAUCCCCAGUAACACUGGGAUCAUGUUAGCUCUGCUUGUUCUCCACAGCUCAACACCCAGAGAGUGUUCAGUGCCCAUCCCUGCAGACACCCAAGGUCAGGCUGGAGGGGCUCUGAGCACUGAUGGAGCUGUGGGUGUCCCUGCUCAUUGCUGGGAGUUGGACCAGAUGGCCUUCAAAGGCACCUUCCAACUCAAACCAUUCUAUGAAACGGUCCUUGGUGUACUGAUGGACAGUCAGCUGAAUAGGAGCCAGCAGUGUGCCCAGGUGGCCAAGAAGGCCAACGGCCUCCUGGCUUGUAUCAGGAAUGGUGUGGUGAGCAGCACCAGGGAAGUCAUCCUGCCCCUCUACUCGGCAUUGGUGAGGCCUCACCUCGAGUCCUGCGCUCAGUUUAGGGCACCUCAGUACAGAAAGGACAUGAAGGUGCUGGAGCAGGUCCAAAGAAGGGCAACAAGGCUUGUGAAGGGCUUGGAGAAUAUGGCCUAUGAGGAGAGACUGAGGGAACUGGGGCUGUUUGGUCUGGGAAAAGGAGGCAGAGGGGAGACCUUACUGCUCUCUCCCAAUAUCUGAAAGGUGCUUACAGCGAGAGCCGAGCUGGUCUCUUCUCACUGCUGACAGGUGACAGGAUGAGGGAUGAGGGGAAAUGGCCUCAAGUAGUGCAGGGUAAGUUUAGGUUGGAUAUCAGGAAACACUUCUAUACAGAAAGGGUUGUUAAGCACUGGAAUGGGCUGCCCAGGGAGGUGGUUGAGUCACCAUCCCUGGAUGUGUUUAACAACUGUUUGGAUGUGGUGCUCAGGGACAUGAUUUAGUGGAGGGUUGUUCGAGUUAGGGUAGUGUGGUUAGGUCCUGGUUGGACUCUAUGAUCUUUAAGGUCAUUUCCAACCUGAGUGAUUCUAUGACUCUAUGAUCCCAGAGAAUGAAAGGGGUGCAGUACUGAGGCUUGGAGACAUCAUGAGGAGCCAUCCCCACAAGUAGUUGGUAGGGCAGCUGCUGUGCUUAGGAAUCGGCACCAACUCAUACUGUGAGGUACAUUCCUAACCUCUCCCCUGCAGGAGGUGUCUUGUGGCACCGACCAUGCAAGUCCCUAGGUAUCAAUACAGAGAAAAGGGAGUUCAAACCAAUGGUGGAAAUCUGUUACGUGUCACUGCUGUGCACAGAUUUCUGUGGUCAGCAGCCCGGCAGGUGCAAGUCCCCAGCUCUGCAUCUCCCACGGUGCUCCCAAACGCACACCCUUAAUUGUGCACACUGCUCCCUGCACCUGGGCACGCAGAUGUGGGGAACCUCUGGGCUUUCUAGGAAGCCUGGAAGAAGCCCCAAGCUGCUGACUGUGUCCCAAGGGAGCAAGGAUGAGGAGUUCCAGCAAGCUGCUGAGAGCUGCAAAGGUUCAUUUAUCCUCAACCCAAACUCCUGUCCUUACAAACCCUUUGCUGCCACAAACACUGCGUGUUUUAGCAACUCACCCUACUCAUCCAAUUAAUUAAGAGCUGUUUUCUUUACCAGAGAACCUCAAGCUCCCUUCCCCACCACACAUUUCCUCAGCAGCACCCAGCCACGUACAUGAGACAUAUGCAGCCCUGGCAGCUCUUCCCACCGUGGUGCACCCUGCAGGAUGCCAACACCAGCCCUGAGUCAGAAGAAGCACCAAGGAAGAUGAUUAAGCACAACAUUCUCCAGGAUGGCAAUUAAAUUCAUGCUUACAGGCAGGCACAUGCUUGAACACUGUUCUGGACGGCGAUGCUUUCUGAAAUCAGGGCCCUUUCCAAGGAAGAUGCCAUUGCUGGGUGGAUUAUCACCGACUUGUUUGUGCUGCUGCAGUUUGCAUGUGGGAGCAAACUGAGACCUGGGGACCUUCCAGCCUGCAGCAGGGCUCUCUGCUACAACCCUCCAUACCUCAAACUAUUCUCUGCAUCCCAUAAGGGCCAGUGCAGAAGUUAGCAAUGCUUGUAGCAACCCCAGUCCAUCUGCAUUCAGUCCCACUUCUAGGGUCUCACCUGGCCUCAAAGCAAAGGGGGGGGGCACAGAGGCUGCUCCAGGGUGACACACACCAGCCAUAGAUGUUUCAAUGAAACAGUCACAGAAGCCUCACCACAGUUUGUAUCAGACCUGUUUAACUCUUGCUUCAGCACUGCUUGAUGGCAAUUCCCAUCUGCAGCUGCUUCUGUCCAUGCAAAACCCCAGGAUUGUUUUGUGCUCAGUGGGACUCUCUGCAACUGGAGCACAUGAAUGCCUGACCCAUAACUGGGAGGGGAUAGAAAACAUCCAAGAGAGAAGAAGAGACUUUUCUUUUGUUUUUCUACUAGCAAACAGCAUUAGGAAUCAUUCUAUCAUAUAGCUGUGAAUGGCACAGAAUGCGAGACAGGUAGCUUAGAGCAGGAGGAUGCAAUAGGGAAUUCCUGCACUGGCUGCUCUGGUUUUGCUUUGAGCCUUCGGGCAGAGGCGAGCAGAGCUGAGAGCGCUCAGGAGCUUGGAGCAAAGAAAGAGUUAAAGGAGAAAAAAGUAAAAGGGGCUAAGCUAGGUAAAAAAAAAAGUAAUUGCACCAAGCUGCCAUAGAGAGGGAAGCGGGCGCUUCACAGCUUGUCCACCAGCUCCAAACCAGCACUUGCUCCUGAUAGACAGGAGGAAACCCAAGAGCUCCAGCUCACCCUGUUUCACCCAAGCAGAGACAGACACGCCGAGUACAAAAGUCCACAGCACUGCAGUAUGGCGACAGAAGCAAACCCGGUCCCCAUCACCAGGUUAGAGGUGGGGAAAAACAGAACCAGAUUUAAAAGGCUGCUCUGCUCCCUGCCCUGAUUCAGCAGCGGUUUACCCAGCUGCAGCCUGUUUACAUUUCUAACAAACUUCAUCCUGAACUCCCCGGGUCAGAUAUUCUAAGGAAGGAAAGGAACUUUAUUUAUCACGUAGCAGAGAGAGGGACCAGGGCAAACUGCCUGAGCCACAGUGAGACUCCAGCACUGAGCACAGCCCUGGAAUUUCUGGAUGCAUUUUACAGUACAGAUUGAGUUGUUUUUUUAUUAUUAUUUAUUUUUAUUGCUAAUUUACUUAAAAUGAGUGCUCUUAAGUGUAAAAAUCCCAGAAUCUUCCACCAGAUAUUCUCAGGUGCUGAGCUAGCAGUCAUGCUUCUUGCUUUAAGUAUGAAGUAGGAAUGAUACCAUCUGCAAAAGAAUUCCGUGUGGCAAAUCGAAAGGAAAAGCAGUCCACCUUCCAACAAGCCCUCACUGCUUCUAUGAAUAAAUGCAUUAAUAAGCAAAGUGAAUAAAAUGCAGGAGAUUGGAACUUUUUAGCAGCCUCACUGUGAACAACCUGUUAGCAGACCAACAUUUAAGCCUGAGAAAACAGCCAUAUCUAAAAUUGAAACCAAAACUUGUUCUUAGCUUUCUUGCAAGUUAAAGCAGUUAUAACACAGGAAAGCUCUAAAAUGCUGCCCCAAGUCAGAUCUGCACAAAACUGCUUUGUUUGCACAUCGCGGGGAUUGAAAGCAGACAUUGCACAUGGCAGAGCUCAUCAGGACCCAACUCCACAGCCGAGCACUCAGCAUAGGAAGUGCAUCAGCUCCUUCUCUUGGUUAAGGCGUUUGAGCAGAAAAUUUCUGCUCUGAUGCUGUCUUCAUAUGUAUCUGGUACUAUUAUUGAUGUAUCUUCUAAUGAAAUAAUUCCUGAGGAUGCUACUCCACCUGUCAAUGGGAGUAAAAAAAAAAAGCUUCUGUGCCACUGUGCUCAAAGGGAAAUCAAAUAACCCAGCCUUUCAAGGCUGGUUGACAUGCAAGGAAAAAUCCAUCUCAUUUAAAUUACAAAAAUAAGAUAAAACACAAAAGGAAGAGCCCCCCAACUCUGAGCCUGAAUUACUUAUGAUUUCCCCUUGCAAAGCGAAGGAAGUAUUAGAUCCUAUGUUCACACUGUGAUGAUGCUGUAGCACAAAGCAAGCAAUAAUUAGAGAACGUCCAAAUUAACUGAAGUCACAGUCUGGACUCAUUCCUUCAUUUAUGUACAUUUUUAAAGGCCUUUAAUUAAGCCGCCAUGUCUUAAGAUCAGACUUUCAAAGCUCUAUAAGCAACUGAUAAGAAUCUAAACUGCAAAGGACAAUUCAGGCCAUCACAAUUCUUUGAAAAUCCUUAAUUGGUGUAAUACAACGUCUCUUCUCUCUCAAGUGAGAUAUAUAUAUUCAGCCAAACGAACCUGGGACAGCAUACAGAAGUUACAGAUGAUCUUCACCUGAGGGCAGAGUUAAGGUUAAAGAUUCAGGAUUUACUUCUGUGUUCAAACGGCAGCCCCUCAAAUACCCAAAAUCACAAGACAGAGAAAAUCAGGGCAUGUUCCCCAACAGCAGUUGGGCAAUGACCCAGUGAUGACCAACAUGCCCAUGAAAUCCAAUCAAACCACCAAGCAAAUCCAAGACUGGCCAAAUUCUUUCACUAAAGCUUUAGAUCUCUUUAAGGCAUUUAAGAUAAUCUAAGUCCUUCUAUUGGCACAAGCUGUUUAAAAUGAUCUAAGGCUUUAGAUUGGUUUAAGCUGCUUAUGGAGCUUUAAGGUUUUAGAAAGGUUUAGACUACUAAAAAACAUUCCCCAAAAAUAAGUGGGGUUAUUUGCUGGAGCUUGUCAUACCAUCCCUUGGAUGCAGUGCAAAUACAGAAAUACCUACACAGGAAUCAAAUUUGGUUUGCAACACUCCAAGUGAAAGCCAGGCAGGGCUAAGUCUACAAAUACCAACUUCAUGGAUGACUUCUACUGGCAUGAGUUUGGGUUUGGGGAGCAGCACGCCCUAGUUCAAGCAUGGAGAUCUGUCAUCUUAAAAGAAGAAAAAUGUACCAGAAAAAGUGACAAGAAACUCAUCACAGCAAUUCCUCCCUGUUGAGAAAAAGCAAAGAACGUGACAGUAUAUAAACCCUACACAUGCCAUUGUCCCCCCCCUCCUUCCAAUGCUCUGAUUUGCACCUCCGUACCAAAGUCAGUCACUUCUCAUGGGAUUGCAACCAUGGAUGUACUGGGGGGUAAGAAAGCCAAGGUGCUGACAGGGUGCUCAAUGACAAGACUCCAUUGGCCAAACAGGUCCUUACCUCAAGCAAUCCCUCUGGACUGCAGAGGGUGCAGGAGCCCACGCAGCCAGCAGAGCUCUCCAAGGGGGGUCGGGGCAGGCCCUGCUCUGCUCCUCUGUGUUUCUGCAGAUGGGCUCCAAACAUCCCCCAAGCCACCUCCCCCAGAGUCACUGCCCAUCCCCCGGGGAGCUAGAAUUUCAUCCCUGAAACCCUGCCUGCAAAAUCAGUGCAACCCCCCAGCUUGAGAGAACACCCUUCAUAACCUGUUGCACAAACAGACCUGGUCAGAUAAUUAAGAUUUCUCCCUUUCCCUCUCUGCAGAGGGGACAGUCCCAUCCCUCUUGGCCAUCUAGAUGCACAAAGAGCCUAUAUUGAAGCCACUUCAGCACAGGCAGUGUGGUGCACAGCCACCCUCUGCUCUCAUUUACACCAACAUAAAGGCAGAGCAUCGGGCCAUGUGUCAAAAGUCUUUAAUUACAUGACCGAACUCACACAUGAGCGAGCUCAUCUUAGAUAUCUGUUUAUUGAGAGCUGUAAGUAACACAAGAUUGCUCUCUAUCGAAUAAACACCGUGCACACAAAGGGAAGUUGGGAUUACUUAUUCAACCAAACACUCAUUCCACGUUUUGGUUGCUUAACUUUGCAACCUUUAUGAAGUAUCAGUGUGCCCCCCCCCCAUCCCCUUUGCAGUUUGCUAUUGAGUACCUGGUUCAUUUUAUGGUUAUUCAGCCAUGCAGAACCAAAGGUUUCUCAUCAUCAAGUCAAUUAUCCCAGUAUGCGUUUCUGAUUUGGGACUACACCACUUCAGACCUUGAGAAGCCUUUGCAAUGGCAAAACUGAGCAAAACCCAUAUGACUAAGAAGAAACAAAUUCUGCAAGAAGCAGCAACGGAAGCCUGCAUCUUCCUUUGUUAAAGUCGUCUCCAUCUCCAUCAUGUGAUCUGGAAAGAUCUUCACAAGCAGCAGCAUCACACCAGGAGGCAGCGCUGAGAAUCACAAGGCAGCACCAGAACCAAUGAGCAGAUCUGUCCAGGAUGGAAAUCAACCCCAUAGCACCCUGAUGUAUAGAGGGGAAUACAGGUCCCGACAGCUGAAGGCACACAAAUCAAAGCCUUUGGUGAGCUCUACUCUAACUUACCUCAUUCCUGCACUCACUGCUAGGUCAUACUUUUGGUAGAUUGGAUGUUCUUGGAAUUUUGCUACCUUCCUGGUCUUCCCUGUGUACGUCUGUUUUGCAGAACACUUUCCAGGUCUGCUGCUAAUUGCAUUAUCAGCAUCAUGGAGCACUGAUCUCUGCCAGUUGACGAAGAGCUGUUCACAGCGGGGCAUGGAAAUACAAGCUGUACCACUAAGAGGUGAAGCAAGGAUGGAGAUCUUCCCUGCAUUACCCUCACGUACCCAGCCCAUCCCUGCACAACAAACUUUUUGUGCAGUUCAUGGAAGGGCAUCUCCUUUGCUCCCUACCCCUUACCAUAAAGCACCCCAGUAUCCCCACCAAGACCAGGAUCCCACAUAGUGCUUCCUUAAGGGGAUAGAACAUGAAGGCAGACAUUAUCAUAGCAUCAUACAAUGGCCUGGGUUGAAAAAGACCACAAUGCUCAUCUACUUUCAACCCCCUGCUAUGUGCAGGGUCACCAACCAGCAGACCAGGCUGUCCAGAGCCACAUCCAGCCUGGCCUUGAAUGCCUGCAGGGAUGGGGCAUCCACAGCCUCCUUGGGCAACCUGUUCAGUGCGUCACCACCCUCUGGGUGAAAAACUUCCUCCUCAUAUCCAACCUAAACCUCCCCUGUCUCAGUUUAAAACCAUUCCCCCUUGUCCUAUCACUUUCCACCCUCGUAAACAGCCGUUCCCCCUCCUGCUUAUACACUCCCUUCAAGUACUGGAAGGCCACAAUGAGGCCCCCCUGGAGCCUUCUCUUCUCCAAGCUAAACAAGCCCAGUUCCCUCAACCUUUCCUCAUAGGAGAGGUGCUCCAGCCCUCUGAUCAUCUUAGUGGCCCUCCUCUGGACCUGUUCCAAGAGUAUUGUGUUUCUAUGCAUUUCUCCAACUGCAUCCAUGCCUCGGACAACCACAUUAGACUUGGCACUGUGUAAUGUUUUGAAAAACCCCAAAGC
rnacentral:lncRNA from 1 species